GAUGAAGAACGUAGCGAAAUGCGAUAAGUAAUGUGAAUUGCAGAAUUCAGUGAAUCAUCGAAUCUUUGAACGCACAUUGCGCCCUUUGACAUUCCGAAGGGCACACCUGUCCGAGCGCCGUCGCACAACUGAGGCGCAGCCUUGCGUUGGCGGGCGACUUGUGAGUAGCGAGUCGCCGCCCAAACGAGACGGCGCCGCGCCGCGGCCGACGAAGCACGAAAGCGGAAGUCGACGCGGAGGCGGUUGCCUGUAGGAAGACACAGCUUGGCCUCGGAUCAGGUGGGGAUACCCGCUGAACUUAAGCAUAUCAAUAAGCGGAGGA
rnacentral:misc_RNA from 1 species